GAAUGUGAGGGUGAUCUGGCUGUGACAUCUGUCACCCCACUGAUCACCAGGAUUGAUUCGGCUGAUCUGGCUGGCUAGGUGAGCGUUCCCUUCCUCCUUCACUGCUCCAUGUGCGUCCCUCCCGAAGCUGCGUGCUCGGCUCAAGGGGACGACCGUCCCCAAUUGAACGGUACGUCUCUUUGGUCAAGGGUAUACAGUAGCUGUGCUCCCCUGCUAGAACUUCUCAACAAGAUCAUGCAGCUGGGAGCAUUCUGAGCUGGCAUUGGGAAAAUAAUGCUCAGUUGAGUAAUAUUAAUUU
rnacentral:snRNA from 1 species